GACGAACGCUGGCGGCGUGCUUAACACAUGCAAGUCGAACGGUAAGGCCCUUCGGGGUACACGAGUGGCGAACGGGUGAGUAACACGUGGGUGAUCUGCCCUGCACUUCGGGAUAAGCCUGGGAAACUGGGUCUAAUACCGGAUAGGACCACUGCCUGCAUGGGUGGUGGGGGAAAGCUUUUGCGGUGUGGGAUGGGCCCGCGGCCUAUCAGCUUGUUGGUGGGGUGAUGGCCUACCAAGGCGACGACGGGUAGCCGGCCUGGGAGGGUGACCGGCCACACUGGGACUGAGAUACGGCCCAGUCUCCUACGGGAGGCAGCAGUGGGGAAUAUUGCACAAUGGGCGCAAGCCUGAUGCAGCGACGCCGCGUGAGGGAUGACGGCCUUCGGGUUGUAAACCUCUUUCAGCACCGACGAAGCGCAAGUGACGGUAGGUGCAGAAGAAGGACCGGCCAACUACGUGCCAGCAGCCGCAGUAA
rnacentral:rRNA from 1 species